CCUUAUUGCACGUGCCACCCCAGGGCAGAGGUUUCCAGCCCAGCCACGGCCGGUCCCAUAUUCCAGAGCUGUAGUAAUCACACUCAAAGGACUGGCCCGUUGGUCAUCCUGGAGUAGCUCCUCCACCAGGAUGCACCACAAAAUAUGAAGAUUUCUCCAUGGAACACCAAAAUUUUCUCAUGGACCACAGGAGAAAGAAGAGGAUUUGAAAUAGCUCAAGAACGACUUGGAUCGGGCAGUAUUCACCACUGUAUGAGAUCAAUUGGAGCAGAUGAAACUGCUCUCCAGAUUCUGUGUAAGCGAUCAGCCCAAAGGGUCACAUUUGGGAAGAAACUCUAUCAUCAUAAAGACACAGACUUCAGAAGAUAAUUAGAACUGCAGAAAAAAUAAUUGCUACCAACCUGCCUUCCAUUAAGGACCUGUAUACUGCACGAAUCAAGAAGAGGGCCGUGAAAAUAUUUACAGAUCCCUCACAUCCAGGACAUAAACUGUUUCAACUCCUACCCUCAAAACGACGCUAUAGAGCAUUGAACAACAGAACAACUAGACACAAGAACAGUUUUUUCCCGAAGGCCAUCACUCUGCUAAACAAAUAAUUCCCUCAACACUGUCAAACUAUUUACUAAAUCUGCACUACUAUUAAUCUUCUCAUAGUUCCCAUCACCAAUCUCAUUCCACUUAUGAUUGUAUGACUGUAACUUUGUUGCUGGCAAUCCUUAUGAUUUAUAUUGAUAUAUUGACCAUCAAUUGUGUUGUAAAUGUUGUACCUUGAUGAAUGUAUCUUUUCUUUUAUGUACACUGAGAGCAUAUGCACCAAGACAAAUUCCUUGUGUGCCCAAUCACACUUGGCCAAUAAAAAAAAUUUCUAUUUUAUUCUAUUCUAAUAAAAAUAUGUUAUACAUAAUAAUCAUAAUAACAAUUAUUAUAUUGUUUACCUCUCUAUCUUAAUAUAUUUUCUACUCUUCUUUAAUCUUCUAUUUCCAACUUCCAUUUUUAUUCUCUAACCAUUGAUAAAAUAAUUCCCAUAUCAUAUAAUAUUCAGUUUGUUCUUUCUCCUUAAUUGCAAGUGUUAAUCUGUUAAUUUCUGCACAUUCCAAUAUUUUCCUAAUUAUGUUCUUGUCAGUAGGGAUAUCUUCACUUUUCCAAUUUUGUGCAAAUACAAUUCUAGCUGUGGUUAAUACAUGUAUAAUUAAAUACGUGUUCUCUUUACUAUAAGUUUCAAGUACAAUCCCCAACAAAAAUAUUUCUGGUUUUAAAGCAAUGUGCUAUUUUAUCAUCUUUUCCAGCCAUGUAAGUAUUUUGGUCCAGUAUUUUUUUGCUUCUACCCAUGUCCACCACAUAUAAGACCCAGAUAUCUGAUGGCACUUCCAACAUUUAGCUGACUUGUCUUUAAACAUCUUUUCUGCAGUUCUACUUAUCCUCUGAAGUCUGUGUCUGUCUUGUUGGGUUGCAGAACCAAACCAGACAGUUAUAGAGGUGCAGAUGACAGACACAAUAAUUCCUCUGUAGAACUGGAUCAGCAGCUUCUUGGGCAGUUUGAGCUUUCUGAGUGGGUGCAGAUAGAACAUUCUUUGUCCUUUUUUGAUGACGUUUUUGAUGUUAGCUGUCCAUUUUAGAUUUUGCGAUAUGGUAGAACCUAGAAUUUGAAGGUUUCUACUGUUGAUAUUGUGUUGUCUAGUAUUGUGAGAGGUGAAGUAUGGAAGGAUUUCUCCUAAAGUCUACCACCAUUUCUACGUUUUUGAGUGUGUUCAGUUCCAGAUUGUUCUGGUCGCACCACGAGGCUAGUAGUUCAACCUCCCGUCUGCAUCAUCAUUGUCUCAAAUGAGACCGAUCACUGUUGUAUCAUCUGCAAACUUCAGUAGUUUAACAGAUGGUUCGUUAGGAUGCAGUCAUUGUAUACAGAGAGAAGUAGGGAGAGCACACAGCCUUUGCGGGGCAUUGUGCUAAAUGUACAGGUAUUGGAUAUGAUUCUGCUUAGCUUUACCUGCUGCUUCCUGUUUGUUAGGAAGCUUAUGAUCCACUUACAAGUCUGUUCAGGUACCUGUAGUUGGUUUAGCUUAGUUAGAAGAGUGUCUGGAAUGAUGGUGUUGAAUGCUGAGCUAAAGUCUACAAAGAGGACCCUUGCAUAGGUCUUUGGAGAUUCAAGAUGUUGUAGAUGUAGUGCAGAGCAAUAUUAACAUCUGUUGAUCUAUUUCUCGGUAUGCAAAUUGCAAAGGGUAUAACAGCGGAUCUGUGACGGUUUUAAGUGUUUUAAGUUCCUCAAAGUAUUUUUUUCCCCUUUUUAUCGGAACUGAUUGAAGUAAACAUAAUAAUCUUGGCAAUAUAUUCGUUUUGAUUGUAGCUAUUCUUCCUAUCAAUGAUAAUUGUAGAGUUUUCCAUUUUUCCAGAUCUGUUUUAAUUUGUUGCAACAAAUGAUAAUUAUCUUCCUUAAUGGUUACACAUCUUGCUGUCAACUGAAUCACUAAAUAUUUUACUUUCUUAGUAUUCUGAAUUCUCUUCAUUAACUCUUUUUUCUGUUUUUCCAACUGCUCUAUCUCUUGCAUGCCCCCUCUACCUCUUGUGUGCCCCCUUGAAGGCUGAUGUGGGCUUUUGUAGCUACAUUGUCCGUCAGGAUGAGAUGUGGUUGGCCAGUGACCAAGUGAACUGCCCUGAGUUCCAGACAGUUGAUAUUGUUUGCUAAAUCCUCCUGCAACUACUGCCCCUGUGCUAUCUGCGCCUGAAAGUAGGCUACCCAGCCGUAGAGGCUGGCAUCUGUUGUGAUGGUUAGGUGUCCAUGGCCUGGGAUGUCUAUCAAUGGAAGGACUGUAGCAGUUUGUUUGGGACUGGAACCAUGGUGUUUCUCCAAAUCUCUGGUAAGAGAAACCACUGUAAGGUCCUUGCAUGUAGACGUGCCCAAAGAACUAUCACGAUGCACAAUACCAUUUUGCCUAAGAGCUUUGAGAAAAGAGCUAGAGGAACCUUGUGGUCUGCCUGAAUCUGAUUUACUAAUGUCUUUACGCUGUCCUGACACUCCUGUGACAGGUAAACCUCGCAUAGUGAAGUAUCUAUGAUCACCCCCAGGUGAAGCAAACGAGUGGUAGAAGUCAGAUGACUCUUCGAGUAAUUGACAGAAAGCCCAUGAUCCUGAAGAAUCCAGAUUGUGACUUGUAGGUCCUCUGUCAUCCGAUCGUGGGAAGAGGACAGGAUUAAAAUGUCAUCCAGGUAACACUGGACUCAGAUUGGUAAUGCCCUGAUGUGGGCUGAGAGUGCUGCCAGGACCUUGUUGAACACCCUGGAUGCUGAAGACAGACCGAAUGGUAAGACUCUGUAUUGGUAAUGCUGACCCGCAUAGUAGAACUGGAGGAACUGUCGAUGUAAUGGUAAGAUGGGCACGUGUCAGGUCUAUGAACAUUAAGAAGUUGCCCUCCCAGAUGUUCUCCAAGAUGGACUGGAGAGAUUGCAUUUUCAACCUCUUGGAAAUUGUUUAGUCUUUUUAGGUCUAAAAUUACCCUCCACCCCACCCCAUCCUUCAAGGCCUUGGGAACACAAAUAGUAUGUAGUCUUGCCCCUGUUGACCCGCCAGGACUGGCUGGAUAGCUUGAAUGUCCAACAGGUAAUGGAUUGUGGUCUCUAUGAGGCCCUUCUUUGUGUUGUCUCCUUGUCCUGGUAUGGGACAAUGUAUGAAGAAUCUCGGGAUGUGGGGAGAAAUUCAAGCCUGAGACCUAGUCUCACUGUGUUUAGAACCCAGGUGUCUGACGUGGUUGCCUCCCAUUGGUUUGCAAAUAGUGCUAGGCGGCAACCAAUGGAAGGGUCUGACCUGGGAUCACUUGUAGCUCUAGAAGGGAUGGCUUCCAGAGCCACAAAACGGUUUUUUGACGUGGACUUGCUGUUUGUUUUUAUCUCAAAAUCGGGCUCCAUCUGUAUGUCCAUCAGUUCCCUGUGGGAACCUCCUUUGGAAGUAACCCAGUCCAGUCUUUGCUGGCUGAAUGGGGGAACUACGAACAUAAGAUGAGGGCCGUCAGUCUGCUCACCUGUGUAGAGACAGGAGGAUUUUGGACAGGAUUUUCCUCCUGUCCUUGGUUUCAACCAAGAUGGGCUCCAUGGCUUCCCCAAACAGCUUGCACCCAUGAAGGGUGCAGAGGAUAGCCUCCAUUUGGACUUGGCAUCUGCCUGAGAAGCCACAGCAUGUGGUGGGCUGUUACCGCUGAUGCUAUAGCCCUAGAAGCAAAUUUGGCUUCAUCCACAGUGGCAUCAGCUGAGAAUUCUGUUGCUACUACUAGUUUGCUGAUGUCUUGUUGAAGGCGUUUAUCAUGCGGUGGAAUUUUAGUUUGCAUCUGGCGAAGCCAGGCUAAGGAGGCUCUAUUGAAAAGCAAGGCGGUUGUGGUUGCCCUGACCACCACCUGAUGAACCCUGCAAAGGGAAAGCUCUGGUUUCAGAGUGUCUGCUAUGUCCUGAGACACAAGAUUAGAGGAUGUUAAGGCUGCAACUGGCCUGUCUACUGUUGAUAAUUGGCUACAUCUCCGUGAAGUCUGUGGCUACAUUACAAAAUCUCCUGGCAUUCCCAUUUGGGUUGGGAUAUGCUCCUGGUUAGGCCCAUUGUUUCUGGCCCAUACAUCAUGGAACAAUUGUGGCAAAGAAACUCCUCAUUCUGCGCAACUGGUUGUGUAAAGAGGAGCCCAUUUGGAUCUGGUAGGCCCAGAGCAGACUUUGAUACACUAGGUUCAGCUACCAUGUUGGCUGUGGUCUUGAAUUUAAACAAGAGAGGUUUGAAGAGGGAUGGGCGGAACAGUCCUGUGAAUGCUGGGGGUUCAGAAGCCGAUCCCUCAUCCUCUGAAAGACUCCAGUCUCUCUGGUCCUUCUCUCCUGUGUGGACAGUUAGUUUUUGAGCUCUCUGUGACUCUGUGAGGUUCCUGCUUAAUGCAGGGACCAUUUUGUGUGAAGUCCAGCUGCUUUUACAUUGUGUGUGACUCAGUUGCGCAGUUUUUGUGUUAUUUUUGUGUAAAGUAUGAUAGUUGAUUUUUGAGCUCUCUGUGAGGUUCUUGCUUUUGCAGGGCGGGUUUUGUGUGAAGUCCAGCUGCUUUUACAUUGUAUAUGAGUCAGCUGUGCAGCCAUGUCCACCCCGUCACAUGAACGCCAAGUCACGCCCACAGAAUCGGUAGGAAAAAUAUUUGAAUUUUACCACUGGUGAGACUCCCUAAAAAUUCUCAAAUGUUCCUGAUCUUGGGGUGCUAGGUGCUGGCUAUGCUCCAAGGAUGGGUCUGAUGCCACAGAAGCAUUCUGGAUCUCCUGUUGCAAGGAUGUGACAAGUCCUUGUGUUAAGGACAUCAAAAGCCUCAUUUGCUCAGAAAUCUCUGAGCUGUGAAUCUCCUGUGGGCGAAAAGUGGCCUCCGAAGCCAUAUGCAUCUUUUUAAAAUCAGGUUCUUAUCGCUUUUCUGCUGACAGGCUAUUUGACUUUAAGGAUUGCUGUUUGGCGUCAUUUGGCAAGCAAUUUGGGGGACUUAUAUGCCUCUGUUCCUUGGUUGUCUCACAGAGCCUUAAGGAGGGGGGCGAUUUCAUUUCUCCCAAAAAGCUUUGCUAGCUCUCUUCAUUCAGUGUAUCUUUUAGUCUUUGAGAUUUCCUUUUCCAAGGCUCUUUGAUUCUUCAGGGCAUCCCUUUCCUCAGCUUUAGAGGUUUUUCUUUACAUGCAGGGCUUUUGCCCUUAUCUUGGCAGCUGUUUUCCCACUGCCCACUUUUGAUGCUGAGGGGCUUCUUUGUUCUAUUUAGGGUUGUACUGAGACCCCCCCUUAUUUCCCCAUUCACGUAAGCCACCUCUUGGCUUUCUGAUGCAGCAGUACUCUCCAUCCUUUGUUGCUGUGCUGGGGAUUUUCUGGACUGCUGCUGGGGAGGAACCAGGACAUCUGCUGAUGACAGCACGCCAAACAUUGGCUCUCCUGGGAUGGUGGCUGGGCUGAGAGAAUUAGAUCUCCUGGGAUGGUGGCUGGGCUGAGAGAAUUAGAUCUCCAGCCAUGCUGUUCUGGCGGCUGUGCCAGUCAGACCGGAUAACCAGCGCAUUCAUUGCAGCUGUUGUGCCAUUAAAAAUGGGAAACCAGCUGUUUCUUUGUAGUGGCUAUGUCAGUCAGACUGGGUUAGCCAGCUAAUCCAUUGCAGUGGCAGCCGGUCAGACUGGGUUAGCCAGUUGGGUCUUUUUGGUGGCUUCCUAGCCCACCUGAGCAGCAGCGUCAUUUAAAUUCACUCCAGCACCAAAAGUAGCUAAAUCCAAGCCAUGUGACUGCGGUGACCCCUUUAAAACGCCUCUCCAGCACCUAAUAGCUGAUCUUCAGCUUUCCUGCCUUGCUGCGGCUGCUCCGUGGAGUGCUCUUUGAAGUGUGCCAUUUCCGCUUCUCAGCUGUUUUGUCUUGUUCUCUCUAGCAUUCAACAGUUGACUUUUGCAAGAAAUUAAAUAAAACCAAGCUUCCAUCCAAAACGGCUCUGCAGCACGCUCCAGAAGCAUUGCUUCCGAAGCUGUUGCCUUCUACUCCACACAGCUGCUCUUAAAGAGAUAGGCUGUGUUUCUCAGCCACCCAGAAAUACUGAAUUAAAUAACAAAAACAAAACGCUGAUAAAUUCCUCUACUGUUGACUCUGAGAAUCCAAAGUAAGUUAAAUCCCUUUGUUCUGAGUAGCUUUACUACACGUCUCUCUGAUGAAGACUGAGUCAAACUGGGGUUAACCCAUACUUUGGAUUCUCAUGUCAGCAUACUUUGGAUUCUCACGUCAGCACAUUGGAGAAAAUUAGUUUUCUCUUUAUUUAUUUUUAGACUCGCCACUUCACCAUAUUCUAUUUUUAAAAAUUAAUUUAGACCCUGUUUCUUGUGGAUCUUCCAAGAUAAAAACUAAAUCAUCUGCUAACACCUGUAGUUUAUACUUCUACUUUUUUAUUUCCAUGCCUUUUAUCUCUGUAUCUUGUCUACUAUUUUUAUUUAAUACUUCCAAUGUCCAUACAAAUAAUAGAGGAGACAAGGGGCAUACUUGUUAAUACCUUUCUUAAUGCUAACCUUCUCAGUCAUAUCUCCAUUUACCAUCACCUUUGCAGUUUGUUUAUAAUAUAUCGCCUUAAUCAUAUUAAUAAAUCUCUCCCCUAUCUUUUAGUUGUGCCAGCAUAAAUUGCCAGUUCACAUUAUCAAACGCUUUCUAUGCAUCUAGGAAGAUCAAUGCCAUUUGCUUUUCUGGAUGCGCUUCGUAAUACUCCAACGUAUUUAAAAUUAUUCUCAUAUUGUCUUUGAUUUGUCUCUUAGGUAACAAACUGUUUUGAUCUGGAUGUAUAAAUUGAUUUAAAAAUCUUUUUAGUCUUUCUGCAAUUAUGGAAGCAAAUAUUUUAUAAUCGGCAUUCAAUAAGGAUAUCGGUCUAGGCUGAAAAACUAUUUUCAUAGGCUUCACUAAUUUCAAUCUAUAUUAAUGUAAAUAUUAUCUUAUUUAUUAUUGUUAGUCAAUAUAAAAUACUCUAUUACCAGAACAAAGAAUAAAAAAGCUAAUUUUAUUUUAGAUUUAUUCAAAAGUAAAAUUUCAUUAACUCUUAUGUAAGUUUACUUCAGUGAAUGCUUCUAUCAACAGAAAUACUAAAUUUUAAAUUAGUGAAUGUAAGCUAAAAAAGAAUUAAAAUUAUUUCUUCCUAAAUUUAUUUCUUAUUCUAUGAAUGAGAAGGAUUCUAUCAUUUUCAAAAAUUUAAAUUAACAAUUACACAAAGUUGAAGUUAA